GCCGGGCGUGGUGGCGCGUGCCUGUAGUCCCAGCUACUCGGGAGGCUGAGGCCGGAGGAUCUCUUGAGCCCGGGAGUUCUGGGCUGUUGUGCGCUAUGCCGAUCAAGUGUCCGAACUAAGUUUGGCAUCAAUAUGGUGACCUCCCGGGAGCAGGGGCCCACCAGGUUGCCUAAGGAGGGGUGAACCGGCCCAGGUCGGAAAUGGAGCAGGUCAAAACUCCCAUGCUGAUCAGUAGUGAGAUCGUGCCUGUGAAUAGCCACUGCACUCCAGCCUGGGCAAUAUAGCGAGACCCCGUCUCUA
ensembl:misc_RNA Metazoa_SRP Metazoan signal recognition particle RNA